AAUGUGACUCAGUGGUAUAGAGUGCUUGCCUAGCAUGCAUGAGGCCUGGGUUCUAUUCCUAAUAUU
rnacentral:tRNA from 1 species